GACGAACGCUGGCGGCGUGCUUAACACAUGCAAGUCGAACGGAAAGGCCCUGCUUUUGUGGGGUGCUCGAGUGGCGAACGGGUGAGUAACACGUGAGUAACCUGCCCUUGACUUUGGGAUAACUUCAGGAAACUGGGGCUAAUACCGGAUAGGAGCUCCUGCUGCAUGGUGUGGGUUGGAAAGUUUCGGCGGUUGGGGAUGGACUCGCGGCUUAUCAGCUUGUUGGUGGGGUAGUGGCUUACCAAGGCUUUGACGGGUAGCCGGCCUGAGAGGGUGACCGGCCACAUUGGGACUGAGAUACGGCCAAGACUCCUACGGGAGGCAGCGGUGGGGAAUAUUGCACAAUGGGCGGAAGCCUGAUGCAGCAACGCCGCGUGCGGGAUGACGGCCUUCGGGUUGUAAGCCGCUUUCGCCUGUGACGAAGCGUGAGUGACGGUAAUGGGUAAAGAAGCACCGGCUAACUACGUG
rnacentral:rRNA from 1 species